GGAUGGAAUUGGCCCUUUGGCCUGCAUCACACAUAGAGUACAGUUAAGUCAUUGCCACCUACUUAGCGGCAUCCCUAACCAUGUUUUGU